CAAAAACAUCGCCUCUUGACAAUAUAUAAGAGGUCUAGCCUGCCCAGUGACUCUGUUCAACGGCCGCGGUAUCCUAACCGUGCGAAGGUAGCGUAAUCACUUGUUCUUUAAAUGAGGACUAGUAUGAAUGGCAUUACGAGGGUUAUACUGUCUCCUUUUCCUAAUCAGUGAAACUAAUCUCCUCGUGAAGAAGCAAGGAUAAACAUAUAAGACGAGAAGACCCUAUGGAGCUUUAAACUUCCAGCAAUUAUCUUUUUUACAUCAGCCUUAAGGUAAUCAAAUUAAUUUUAAUAUUAUGCCUGUUAGUUUUCGGUUGGGGUGACCGCGGAGUAAAAAUUACCCUCCGCAAUGAAUACUAAACGUUUAAGCAACAAACUACAAUUUUAUGCAUCAAAAAAUUGACACUAUUGACCCAACAUUUUGAUCAACGAACCAAGUUACCCUAGGGAUAACAGCGCAAUCCAUCUCAAGAGCUCAUAUCGACAGAUGGGUUUACGACCUCGAUGUUGGAUCAGGGUAUCCCAGUGGUGCAGCCGCUACAAAAGGUUCGUUUGUUCAACGAUUAAAACCCUACGUGAUCU
rnacentral:rRNA from 1 species